UACGUAGGGUGCGAGCGUUAAUCGGAAUUACUGGGCGUAAAGCGCGCGUAGGCGGUUCGUUAAGUUGGAUGUGAAAUCCCCGGGCUCAACCUGGGAACUGCAUUCAAAACUGUCGAGCUAGAGUAUGGUAGAGGGUGGUGGAAUUUCCUGUGUAGCGGUGAAAUGCGUAGAUAUAGGAAGGAACACCAGUGGCGAAGGCGACCACCUGGACUGAUACUGACACUGAGGUGCGAAAGCGUGGGGAGCAAACAGG
rnacentral:rRNA from 1 species